UCCUGAAUACCAGUGAUCCUAAUCUUCUGAGCAUUCCAUAAGAUCCAAAUUCUACCCCUUGGAGAGUCCCUAUAGUUAGAUAGCAUAUCCCAACCUGGAACCAACAGUUUAGCUAUUUUCUCUGCAUUUCUCUCCUUAACUUUUGUCUCUACCAGACCAACAAGGUUAAAUUUAUUAUGUCUAAAGUAUUCCUUAGCUUCCUUCUGCUUAUACCU
rnacentral:lncRNA from 1 species